UCUGGUCAAGAUGGCACUGAUUGAGCAGCAGCCACUUGCAGCAGCUUUGACCCUUCUCUUUGUUUAUAGUGACCUUUUCGCACUUUUAGCUUUCAUCUACUGUUUUCUUUUCUACAGUAGUCGCUCCGGCAAACGUCCAUUCCUUGGUGUUAAGCUGGUGAGACUGCUGCUGUGUUUUUUUUACUGUUUUCUGGACUCUUAAAUACCACAUUGGCGAACACUCUUGGUCGUAGCCCAGCUGUUGCUUACACACGGGAGCAGCUGUUGGCACUUAGCCAGGCUACGCAACAUCCCGAAGCGCAAUUGGAGAUCCCCGCCGAACUACGGAGGAGAAGGAGGGGAUGCAAACAUGAGGUCUCUCCUAAAUAAGACGGAUGAGCUAGCAGCGCUAACGCGGCUACAGCGGGAGUACCGGGAGUGCAGUCUACUUCACUUCACAGAAGCCUGGCUGAACGAGCUAACCCCGGACUCACUGGUGCAGCUCGACGGGUUUCAUCUGAUCAGAGCAGACAGAGACAUGAGGGAGAGUGAUUCAGAGUAAUAGAAGAGUCGGAGAAAGCUGAGAGCGGCGAGUCGAAACACUGAGGAGACACACAGGAGAGUUUGGGAGGCGAUACAGCAGUAUCAAGCUGAAGACAAGAGGAUAUGAACGAGACGACAUAUGAGGAUGCUCUCUGAUGAGACUUCAUGGGAUUUACCUGAAGCAGCAGCACAUGAGCCUGCAGUGGCACAAGGUGUAGAGGAGGAGGACAGAGAUGUACAGGAUGCACUGAUGUAUACGUGUCAUGCAAAAGUUAGAAGUUAUUCUUCUUGUUAUACUUCUGUUUUUCUGUCCCCGGACCGCUAUUGUUUUCUUUAAUGCAGUUCUGACAAUAAACUUUUGUAGAUGUGUCUGUGCUAUUGUUUGUUUGUGAAGGUUAGCAAGAUUAAAUAAAAAAUUAAACGCC
ensembl:lncRNA